rnacentral:misc_RNA from 1 species
GGAAACUUUCAAAGGAACUUCCUUUAGUCCAUGGAUGAGCUGCUUAUGUAGGACAUUAAAGAGUCUCUUUCAGAUUACAUGCAUAUCGCUUGAGAGAUAAUGACAAAAAGUUUUAUGUUCUGUCAUAUUUUGGCUUAUGUAUUGUCUUAAAGUAUAUAUACGAUGGUAAACUAGGAAAUAAAAGAAAUUAAUUUUAUGGAAUACAAUUUGACG